CUUAUAGCCUACCUUUGCAUCCUCAGCCGCAGUGACGACUUUUCCAGCCAUUUUUUGAGGAGAAACAGGCAGCCAGGUCAAUCUAUUAUCCAGUCAAGAUGCCGUUGUUUGGCCGGAAACCGAUUGGUCUGUUGCCGUUGCCGGAAAAUCUGAAGCCGAAUGAGGAGCUGUUUGUGGUGAAUGAAACGAAUGAAGCUUUUCGUUCAUAUGACGAGUACAUCUGUCGUCAUGAGCUCUACAAACUGCCUGCAUGGACGUGCAAGCUAACUAAUAAGACCAAUCUUACGUUCUAUGAUGCACUGAAGUCGGAGGCUACGGCCAGGAAGCAACUUGCUGCCAUACAGAAGUGGUUUGUCAAGCCGAUGCUACAGAUCAUUCAUCACAAUGUUGAUCGGUUUGAGGAUGUGGUUGAAGACUUGUAUGACCACGUGCACACAGCGUUUGCUGUGGGAGAGCCAGUGGAAGUGAAGCGAAGUAGCGACGAUGUUGAAGAAGAGGAGGCUGUUGUUGUGACGGUUAUUGAGCCACAAGAUGAAGAUCCAGAUAAUCCGGAGCCUGAACCAUAUUUCUAUGAUGUGAAGUUUAAAGAUGGAUUUAUAAGGAAGGCUAUUCAUAGUGACAAUAUCAGUCGUUUGGAACGAGCACCUAGCAAAGAUCUAUUGAGGUUGCUGGUACGCGAUUCAGCAAUGCGGAUUGGAAAAGGAGAGCAGAGCAUGUGGAUUGUCAAAGAAUCUCUUAUCAAGCAGCACCAUAUCCAGAGCAAGAUCAGCGAUGCUCCAAACUGUGUGACCUUAGACCCAUGGCCAACUCCUGUUAAGAAGUCGUCAGCAAGCAAAGUGUCCAGUGACCAAAUGAAAGACAAGUCGGUCGCUAGAGUGCUGAAAGACAUUGGCAAAGUGUUAGACAUGAAAAAGAAGAAGGAAAAAUCAACAACGGAGGAAAGGGAAAAGAAGCUUCAGACUAUGAAGCAAACAACAUUAUUUCAGUUGUCUGGGAAGUCUCCCAUCGUACUAAAGUUUCCAGAGAAGGCUGGAGGAAGCAACAUGGAUGGGUUACGCAUCGCUCAACUAGCAAGCGCAGAAAUGAGGAAAAGAUCGAAUCCGUUGCCAAAUAUGAAACGAAGCAAAUUGAUAGAAAUGUUGAAUCAAACGAAUUUCGAUAAGAAAUCUCGUCUAUAUCGCGACUUAAUAAGGGCGGCCGCUAUCACUUUGUCUGCAGAAGAAAGAGAACAGUUGUCGGCUGAGGAUCAGAUACGAGUUGAACGUAAAGCUUGGUUGAUGAUGACGAAAGAGGAAAGACAACAGGCCAGUGAUGCAAAAAAACUAAAGCGAAAGUUAGAAAGAGAGAAGGAGAAAGCACAAAUGAUUGAGAUGACUAAAAUUGUUCCAGAAGAAGAAUUGGAUUUAAGUGAUCAGCCGAUAUACGAGGGCAUCCCUUUGUUUCCGCCGGAGGGCGUGGAGAUGAGCUAUUUCUCAGAUUUGAUUAUGAUGUGUGAGUAUCUGUGGCACUACAGCGAGCUGUUGUUUCCGGAUGAUACGCAGGGAAGACCACCUUCACUAGAAUCUCUUGCUGCUGCUUUGGUAAAUGGAGCAGAAGGCUUCUCGCUCAUCUCAUCUAUACUUGUUGCUUUUCUUCAGCUUCUUCUUCAGGACUCGUCGACAAGCUAUAAACUGUUCAGCCUACCCCUACGUGCCUGUCCCCUUUCUUCAUACACAGUUUGUGAACUCAUUCGCCUCGUUUUUGAGCCAUACCAACCACAGACAAACGACAGAGUAAAGUCAUUGCAAGACUCGGAUGAUGAAGCUUCGUCUUCUGAUGAAUCAAAGAGCGAGCAGAAAGCCAGUAGGGAGGAAGAGAAGGGAAAGGAUGAGCAAGUCAGCGAGGAUGACGAAGAGAGGGAGACGAACAAAGUGAAGGCAAAGAGAGAUGUUGAUGAUGUUGUCACUCCUGAGCUCCUUAGGGUUGUCGAGUCUUUGGAGAGAAUUGAAUUCUACGACCUUUCAGUCAGCGAAAAAAUUCAAGUGAUGGUGGCUUUGUUCUAUAAGGCACUCUGUUCGGAUGCACUUGAUGAUUUUAUAGAAGAAAAGUCAGAAAAGUGGAAGGAAUUGAUGAGAGACUCGAGAGCAGAACGAGCAGAAGAACGAAUGCUCUUAAUCGAAGAGAAAAAGAAACGACAGGAAGAACGAGAACGGACAGCAAAACAAGAGACGUCCGAUGCACCAAACCAACCACAGACAACAGACGAAACCAAAACCAAAGCGGAAGACACACACGAAAACGAUGCCAUACUUGAUGCUGCGUCUGUUGAUUUGGACUCGGUGGCGAUGAGGAAGAGGCGGAGGGUGACGGUGGCUGCGGCGCAGGCCGAGAGGCAGCGGCGUGAGAGAGAGCAGGUGGAGAAGGUGGAGAAGGAGGCGAGAGAGUUGAGAGAGCAGAAGCGAGUGCAGGCUGAAAAGCGGAAGUUGGAGAUGAAGAAAGAAGCCAGGAAGGAGGAACUUACUCACAUCAAGAACAUCUACCGUCUCGAACCCAUCGGAUUCGACCGCCACAAUCGUCGCUACUGGCUCUUCCAGUCACUCGCACCCGGUCUCUACGUUGAGGCCGGCUGGUCAGACGUCGCCUUGCAAAACACACAACCGAACAGCUCAGCGACAAGAGACGGACAACUCGAGUACAAGUGGUGGCAUCUUUCGACGUUAGAAGACGUUGAUCAAUUCAUGGAGUCUCUCACGACACGUGGACAGAGAGAACGUUCGCUGAAAACGGCAAUUGAGGACAAUUACAAGUCGAUUCGAGAGAGUUUUCAGAGUUUUGGGUGUCGAUCGUCGAUGCGAAGUAGAGAGAAAGAUCAGAUGCAAGCGUUGAAGGAGAAUCUGUCCAGCAUCCAGACUCAGUUGGCGAAGCGGUUUGCUGGUAGAGCUGAAGAAAUGGCCAAAUUUGAAAGGCGACUUGACUGGGCCAAGACGCUGGAAGAGAUGAUUGCUCUCACGCUGGAUACUCAAGAAGCCAUUAAUGACGCCUGUUUCUACGGUACUCUUCUACCGGAUCCUUUACGUGUAGGAUCAUCAGGUUUGCAAGCAUCAAAGGCUCCACAGACGACUCACUUGGAAAAAUGGCGAGAUGCAGUGCAACAAGCCACAACUCUGUCUCGUCUCCAUUUGUUAGUCGGCAUAUUGGAUGCAUUGAUUGUAUGGAAAAAGGGAUUGCUUUGCUUGCCAAAGACAAAGCCUGUACGGUCUAUGCGUCUUAGUAUGAGGCGAGGAUUGCGACAAAUGAACUAUAAAGAAGUUCCAAGCGAAAAUGAAGAAGAUUCGGGAGACGAUGAGGAAGGGAGUCGAGAGGAGGCAAGCAACGAUCAAGAGUCUGAUGAAGAAAGCUCUGAAGAACCUGAUGAUGAAUCUGAAGACGGAACGAGAAGGACGACGAGGAAAACAACUCGAGCUGCGACAAAAGCAAGUCAUAAGGCCAAGCGUGGAGGACCUAAUGGUCAGAAUAUUCGAGCAGGUAGGAAACGUUCCAGGAAGAAACUAGGGAACAGCCACAGCAGCAGUGAUGAUGAUGACGACAAUGAUGAUGAUGAAAGCACAUCGUCGAGUCGAUCUUCAUCUCCUGAACCUGUAAAACGUACGAAACAAUCUAAAACAGAGACAUCGCGAUCAUCCCUUAACAGUCGGAAGAGGCCACGUAACCAACUCAACAAUCGAAAUCGUAAGAAAGUUCGGUCGCCUUUACGGAGAUCCAGACGGAAUGCUGAAUUGACUUUAGAGAUGAAGGAAUGUGAUAAUAUUGUUGCUGCUCUUCUGAAACACGACGACAGCUGGCCUUUCAGUGCUCCAGUUGACACAAGCAAAUUUACAGAUUAUGAUGAUUUGGUUCAAAAUCCAAUGGAUUUGCGGACAGUUCAAGAUCGUCUUCAUAUGAUGCACUACGACACAGUUUACGCUUUCAUUUCUGACAUGCGGCUGAUUUUCUUCAACUGUGAAGUCUACAACAGAGGUGACUCAGAUGUCUUCAUUGCUGGAAGAAGUCUGGAAGAACAAUUCGCUUCUUUACUGACGGCACGAUUACCCACUGUUGACUAUAGCCCCGUGUUCAGUGACUCACUAAGUGGAGCUCCACGAAAGAAGCGCAGGACGGGUAGAAAGUAGAUUGUGUCGUUUGGUUUGGUUUGUAGAGUUUGUACUUGACGUGCUUGACGAGUCAUCAUGUGGCAUGUCAUGUGUAUCUCUUUGUAAGUGUAUUGUAGUGAAAUCUUUGGAAGAAAUGUGUUCAUUUGAAGUUGUCAAAAUGCGUGACUGUUUGAUGUUGGUACUCAACUUGUGAGAUUUUCAGACGCAUUCGUUUUCUCUUGCAAAGCGCAAGGGUAGCACAGCACAAACAGUAUCAGGUGUGUGAUACUAUUCAGUACUCACUACUCACUGUACUGUCAAAGCCACUUCUACUACCAUCACUUCCACUACUACCACCUACCAGUGCAGCAGAGAUUGUGAAGCAAGCAAAUUCUACUAGAACUAUGUUUGUAGGUCUGUACUGCUAAGGUUAUUUGCUUGUUGUUUUCGUUUGUUUAUUCAUAUUUACCUAGCGAAAACAAUUCAGACUAAACGUUUGAACUAUCAUUGUGCCCUGCAGCAUGCAGAUACGCGAGCUGCU